rnacentral:rRNA from 1 species
AUUGAACGCUGGCGGCAGGCCUAACACAUGCAAGUCGAGCGGGGUUUUCGGACCUAGCGGCGGACGGGUGAGUAAUGCGUAGGAAGCUGCCCGAUAGAGGGGGAUACCAGUUGGAAACGACUGUUAAUACCGCAUAAUGUCUACGGACCAAAGUGUGGGACCUUCGGGCCACAUGCUAUCGGAUGCGCCUACGUGGGAUUAGCUAGUUGGUGAGGUAAUGGCUCACCAAGGCGACGAUCUCUAGCUGGUUUGAGAGGAUGAUCAGCCACACUGGAACUGAGACACGGUCCAGACUCCUACGGGAGGCAGCAGUGGGGAAUAUUGGACAAUGGGCGCAAGCCUGAUCCAGCCAUGCCGCGUGUGUGAAGAAGGCCUUCGGGUUGUAAAGCACUUUCAGCGAGGAGGAAGGGGUGUGUGUUAAUAGUACACACCUUUGACGUUACUCGCAGAAGAAGCACCGGCUAACUCUGUGCAGCAGCCGCCGCCGUAACAC